CCACUGUGGCCUGGCUAGAAAGAGUGGAAAGGCAACUCCUGUUCCAGUUACUCCAUCAUGGCUUGAAGCAGAAAAGGAAUUUUCAGUUUGGAAAAUAUAAAUUACUUGAGAAGAUCCUCAAACUGCCAUGGUUAAUCUGCAUAUUUCAGAGAUAUUUUAGGCAUAUAAAUUAUUGUUUUUGUUUUAUACAUUUCUGUGUCCACUUACUAGGGAUUACAUUGUCUUCCCAUAUGCAUGUGGAAUCAGGUAUUCAUUCCAGCUUCUUAUCUUCCACCUUUCUUCCUUAUUAGAUUUUCUUGGGCUCUAUGUUAAUCCUCAUAUUUAGCUGCAAUAAAAGUUCCCUUCUGUAUUUGAAUAGCAUGUGAAUAUUAUUCUACAAGCCUUACAACCUUUGUUUUGUAAACUCCUUUGCUACUGAAGUGUACUGCCAUUUAGCACUCUACAUAUUUGUGAGCUCUUUCUGCAUACUAGGUUUGAUUGUCUUUAAGUUUUCACUUUAUGCUACAUUUUGUUCUUGGCCAAUUGCCCUCUGAGGAGUCUUAAGUUUUGAUUCCAUCCAUGAUCAGAAGGCAGGAGCCUCAGCCUUUACUACUAAUAUUAUUCUCUUUGAAGGUCUUUAAAGUAUAAUGGAAAAAACAAGAGCACUGGAGCUGGAU
rnacentral:lncRNA from 1 species